rnacentral:rRNA from 1 species
GCGGCGUGGCUAAGACAUGCAAGUCGAACGAACUGGCUAAUUGAGCGAUCGAGAGGCCAGUUAGUGGCGAAAGGGUUAGUAAUGGAUAGGUAACGUACCCUGUACUUCGGGAUAGCGUCGCUUGCCGAAAGGCAAGCUACCGAAAGGGGCAUUAAUACCGAAUAAUAUCAGGUGCCGGCAGGUGCCUGCUCAAAGAUUUAUCGGUGCAGGAGCGGCCUAUCUCCUAUCAGCUUGUUGGUGAGGUAACGGCUCACCAAGGCUUUGACGGGUAGCGGGACUGAGAGGUUGGCCCGCAACAUCGGAACUGAGACACUGUCCGGACCUCCACGGAGGGCUGCAGUAACGAAUCUUGCGCAAUGGGCGAAAGCCUGACGCAGCGACGCCGCGUGUGGGAGGAAGUCCUUCGGGAUGUAAACCACUGUCAGGGGUCAAAAAGUCCGUUUCGGCGGAUUGAUUUAACCCAGAGGAAGUCACGGCUAACUCUGUGCCAGCAGCCGCGGUAAGACAGAGGUGGCGAGCGUUGUUCGGUGUCACUGGGCUUAGAGCGUGUGUAGGCGGCAAAGUAAGCGCUUUGUGAAAGCCCCCGGCUCAACCGGGGAAUUGCUUGGCGAACUGCUUUGCUUGAGGCAAGAAGGGGUGCGGGGAACUCUUGGUGGAGCGGUGGAAUGCGUAGAUAUCAAGAGGAACGCCGGUGGUGAAGACGCCGCACUAUACUUGUCCUGACGCUGAGACACGAAAGCGUGGGGAGCAAACGGGAUUAGAUACCCCGGUAGUCCACGCCCUAAACGAUGUCUACUAGGUCGUGCGGGUUCUGACACUUGCAUGGCCGAAGCAAAAGUGUUAAGUAGACCGCCUGGGGAGUACGGCCGCAAGGCUAAAAUUCAAAGGAAUUGACGGGGGCUCACACAAGCGGUGGAGCAUGUGGAUCAAUUCGAAGCAACGCGAAGAACCUUACCAAGGCUUGACAUGCACUUGAAAAACCUGGAAACAGGUUCCCUCUUCGGAGCAAGUGCACAGGUGGUGCAUGGCUGUCGUCAGCUCGUGUCGUGAGAUGUUGGGUUAAGUCCCGCAACGAGCGCAACCCCUGUCCUAUGUUGCCAGCGAGUAAUGUCGGGGACUCAUAGGAGACUGCCGGUGACAAAUCGGAGGAAGGUGGGGAUGACGUCAAGUCAUCAUGCCCCUUAUGUCUUGGGCUACACACGUGCUACAUUGGCCGGUACAAAGGGCUGCAAACUCGCGAGAGUGAGCGAAUCCCAAAAAGCCGGUCCCGGUUCGGAUUGGAGGCUGAAACUCGCCUCCAUGAAGGCGGAGUUGCUAGUAAUCGCGAAUCAGCAACGUCGCGGUGAAUACGUUCCCGGGCCUUGUACACACCGCCCGUCACACCACGAAAGUUGGCAAUACCCGAAGCCGGUGGGCUAACCCGCAAGGGAGGCAGCCGUCGAAGGUAGGGUCGAUGAUUGGGGUGAAGUC